rnacentral:rRNA from 1 species
AUUGAACGCUGGCGGCAGGCCUAACACAUGCAAGUCGAACGAGUGGCGGACGGGUGAGGAAUACCUCGGAAACUACCUUGUCGUGGGGGAUAACUUCGGGAAACUUUCGCUAAUACCGCAUACCAUCGAAUGUGCCCAGGUGGGAUUAGCUAGUUGGCGGGGUAAAGGCUCACCAAGACGACGAUCCCUAGCUGGUCUGAGAGGAUGACCAGCCACACUGGAACUGAGACACGGUCCAGACUCCUACGGGAGGCAGCAGUGGGGAAUAUUGGACAAUGGGCGCAAGCCUUAUCCAGCCAUGCCGCGUGGUUGAAGAAGGCCUUCGGGUUGUAAAGUCCUUUUGUUGGGAAAGCGGUACCCGAAGAAGAAGCACCGGCUAACUUCGUGCCAGCCGCCGCGGUAAUAC